GCUCGGCUAACUCAGUCGGUAGAGCACCACGAGACUCUUAAUCUCGGGGUCGUGGGUUCGAGUCCCGCGCUGGGUG